GCAGAAGGGCACCUCUAGCUCGGCUCGUCGGGUAGGGCUCUAACUCGCGACGCCCUUGCCUCGAUCCUGAUCAGCAAUAGCAGCAGCCGAAGACGAUGGCUCUGCAAAAAGAUGAUGUAACAACAGGGCGUAAGAACUACUGUAAAAACAAGUAGUCCUCAGUGGGUACCGCCCAAAACAAUAUCGGUCCACCCACUAAGUCUACAGAAGGGAGCAAGAAUAGUAGUAAAUGCAGGAAUAAAAUCUGCCGCUAUGGAUCACUACACUAUCAUGCUCUACACUAACCAACUGUAGAAAAUGUCAAAUCUGACCCAAUUUGUCACGCCCCGGGACCGGCGGAGGCCCUCCCAGUAGCGUGCCCAGACCCGCCAUAUGUCUACACAUAUAAGGCGUCUACGAUAAAAGCGGAAGUAAAAGCAAGAGAUAGAACAAAUAUAAGAANAAACAGGCUCCAACUAGCCAAAGUCAAGUGAACAGGGUCAAAACAGGUCUACAAACCAAACCCACGUGCCCUCGGCACAAUCUGUGACCAAAACAAGAAUCUGGGUCCACCGCUAACCGAACAGCACCCAACGACUCGAAACAGUCUAAACUCUGCUGAAAAAUAAGCUCGGCACCCCAGCAAGAGCGUAAAUGCCUUCUAAACUACCCCAGGUAUCCAUCGCACUGAUACUGCAACGAUACAAUCGAACCACGGCUCCUAGAGUAUCUGGUAGUUUAAGCAUAUGACGGGUCAAAACGCAGGUUUUCUCCUAAGUCAAAUUUCAAGUCCAACAUGUAUAAUAUAAAUAUUCAUUUCAGCAUACUUCUACAUUCAUAUUACAUUCAAGAUACUAAUCGAUGAAUUAAAGCAUGAUAUACAAGAACCGACCUAUACACGUCGACUAAACAUGCACUUAGGAGCGAAACCGAUGAUACACCCACCUCUAAUGCAAUUCCUGGCAGCAAGAUGGUCUCGGAUCACAAGUAACACAGCUGGUUACACCUCCAAACCAGCAACAAGUCCCCCCAAAAUUUGCACAUUACAAUUCACCCAAAAUCCAACAAAACCAUCAAUUUACCAAAAUUCCAGCACUUAAGCUUAAUUAUCUCAAUUCCAAU
rnacentral:lncRNA from 1 species